ACGAGGUAAAUAGUUGUUUCAAUGGAGGCAGUCGCAAUUCCACACAACAUACUCAUCGGAUUCGAUUAGCUAUGCGUAUAUUUGCUAUACACACGCUUUAGAAUUUAUUCUCCUUUCAACACUGUGAACAAAUCAGAGUGUAUCAAACAUGUCGUUUUUGAAUGUGCAUUGAAUGUCUUAUCAUGGGAUGUUGCACUUUCUGCGUUAAAAAUUUAUUACUGCUUCGUGCUGUAAUUAUUUUUUUACACACACACACACACACAUACGCACAUGUUGUAUGCCACGUAAAUAAUUUUUAACGGUUAAAAAUGUCGAUGGGGAUAGUUGGAGUCAACAGUACUGCUGGGCGAGAGGUGAAAUUCAUUGACCCUAGCAAGACUACCAAAAGCGAAAGCAGUUGGCUAGGCUAUACUCUUUGUGAUUAUAUAUAUUUUAUCACGCAUAAAUAUACACACACACACAUACACACUCACGUAUAUACAUGCGGUCAGUAUAUAUACAUACACUUUACAAUGAAGAACGAAGGUUGGGGGAUCAAAGAGGAUCAGAUACCCUCGUCGUCCCAUUAAUUACAUCAAACGAUGGGCUCUCAAUUGCAUUUUUCAUUAAAUUGCAAAUUUCCUCAGCCUACAAAAUGACUUGGCUUGAGCUCGUAUUUUUAAUACGCUCGCCUAACUUUUUCGUAUGGUCUCGAUGGACGUUUCAUUUAAAAUUUUUUUGCGUGUAAGCAUUUGUUAUUCUUUGAAACAUAAGAAUGCAUUGCGUGCACUUGAUUUUCGGAGCUUUGCGCUCAAUUCUGGUGAGAUGUAAGCACUGUGUCAUACUACCCGCAGCGUAUAUCUUCGGGUAUUUCGUCUGUCGUGUGCAGUUGACAAUUUUGGUGUGAAGCACGCUUUAGGCACGCGCUUACUGCAGAAAUGUCUGAGACAUUCCCCUCCGGGGGUAGUAUGCACGCAAGUGUGAAACUUGAAGGAAUUGACGGAAGGGCACCACAAGAACGCGUGGAGCAUGUGGCUUAAUUUGACCCAACGCGGGAAAUCUUACCGGGUCCGGACACACUGAGGAUUGACAGGCAAUAUUAAUACAUUAAUAAAUUUUUCGUCAAAGUUGUUAUGUUAAAUAUGCUAGUCCUUUCAUGAUUAUGUGAUAGGUGGUGCAUGGCCGUUCUUAGUUCGUGGAGUGAUCUGUCUGCUUAAUUGCGUUUCACCAAGGGCCUAUAAUUUUACGUGUGUUGCGGCACUUUGACCCCUCUUUUUUUAAAGAGCGCGUGUCUUGGUUUGCUUAGCUCGCACAAUUAGGUCCUGAAAGCAACGAACGUGACCGCAACCUCUUGUUGCCUUUAUACCAAACGUGCAUAUGUAAUUAAAAUUGCUUUGCGCGCAAAAAGGCUUUUUAAACUAGAGGGACCGCUGUUACUUUCUUAAACCAGAGGAAGGUUGCGGCAAUAACAGGUCUGUGAUGCCCUUAGAUGUUCCGGGCUGCACACGUGCUACAAUGAUUAUUGCAGUGAGCAUCUCAUUUUUUACACACCGCAUACGCGAGACCAUUUAUUCACCUUCGGGUGCUUUAAAUGUGUUUUCUCUGCGAGCGGUAAAGCCUGCUUCGAAAGUAAGUGGGUAAUCAAUUAGAAGUAAUGAUUUCCUUUUUUUAGCACACAUAUAUACGGCGUCUAUGCCCGGGUUACCUUGUUGUAGCUUUUGUGCGUAUAGAUGUUUUUUCCGUAUUUUCCGUAUGUGCGAUUGUCAAUUCAUGGUGGGGACAGACCAUUGUUAAUUGUUGGUCUCGGUCUUAACUAGGAAUGCCUUGUACGGGUCUUUGGUUCAACAAACCACCCGGAAUACGUCCCUGCCCUUUGUACACACCGCCCGUCGCUCUUACCGAUGGACUUCUCUGUGAGUUUGAGGACUGGGAACGCAUAUAAUUUCGAUUAUUUGCACACCUAUGGAAACUUAAACGAACAGUGUGGUCUAAAGGAAAGAGAAGUCGUAAC
rnacentral:rRNA from 1 species